AUGGUGCCGAGGGCACCACCGGACGCCUGGCUUUCGCAGACCAGGUUGGCCGAGCGACUCCUCAGCCCCCUGCUGGCGUCACUCCCACUUUCCCCUGGAAACGGGCCCCUGGCACCCAUGUCACAGCCCCGUGAGGCCCAGGGGCAGCGCGGCGAAGGCCAGGGCCCUGGAGGGUCAGGCAGCGGCAUCCUCCACACCCAGAGGGCGCGGAGGAGGUGCGGGCGCAGCCCGGAGACGUGCGGGGGCAGGAGCGGGGGUGCCCAGCCCAGCGCAGCCACCUUCCCUCGGGGUCGGCGCUCACACCCCGGGGAGCUUAAGGCUUUGGAGCGGGACCCUGUGACGGGCCAUCAGAGACUCGGCUUUGUGCGGCCCAGGCUGUCGGAGCAAAAGCCGGGAAGCUCCCAGCGGCUCCCGCGGGGAGAGGGAAGUGCGGCGGCCUUCCUGCGGGUCACACGCGGGGGUGCCGCGAGCAAGGGGCCGAAACCCCAAUGCAGAGCUGAGCCCGCCCCCCGGCUGGCACACGCUGAUGUGCUCGGGGGCCAUGACACAGGGCUCCCGAGGCAGCGAGGGACAGGCCCCAGCACCAUCCCGCACCCUGGCCCUGCCGACCCCGCCGGGCUCACCUGGGGAGAUUCCUGUCCCUGCCGCAUGUCCCGACCCCUGCAGGCACCAGGGGCAGGUGGAGGCUGGACGCGGGGGCACCGUUUGUCCCAGCCUGUCUCUUCCCCCAGGGGACAGCUGGCCCAGGGCGCUCCUGGGGGCCUCUCAGCCACGUGCCUGCGGAAGGGGCUUCCGUCAGGGUAUGUGAGGGGCCAAGGGGCAGGGCUGGUGGGCUUGGAGCCACCAGUGGACAAGCCCCGCCAGGAGCCCACACCCAGGGCAGGGCGUGAUUUACAACAGGCACUUGACCAGCCACCCAGCGCUGUCACCUCCCCGGCUCUGCCCUGGGGCCUGCCUUGCAGGGGCCAGGAGGGGCUGGGGAGGACAGGCCUGCCCUCAGCAGAGGCAUCAGGGAGAAAAAGGAGGCCCGGUGGCUCUGGGGUGGGCCCACCUGGCAGGCCGAGGGGUGGGGCGGGCUGGGCGCCAUGA
rnacentral:lncRNA from 1 species